GACGAACCGUGCGAACGUUGUUCGGAAUCACUGGGCUUAAAGGGCGCGUAGGCGGCUCGCGAGGUCGGGGGUGAAAUCCCACAGCUUAACUGUGGAAGUGCCUUCGAUACCGGCGGGCUGGAGGACUGGAGAGGAGACUGGAAUUUACGGUGUAGCGGUGAAAUGCGUAGAUAUCGUAAGGAAGACCAGUGGCGAAGGCGGGUCUCUGGACAGUUCCUGACGCUGAGGCACGAAGGCCAGGGGAGCAAACGGG
rnacentral:rRNA from 1 species